rnacentral:lncRNA from 1 species
GGGAUGCUUAUCACAAUCAGGGCCUUGUUCGGAUCGUGGUAAACUUGGUAUCAAAACACGGUUCAUGGUCCCAGGGUGUCUGCAAAAUUACAUCGGGUAGACUCUUAUUUAUGGAUGUGUAGCGCGCCAUACUUAUAGGCAGGAGGCUACUAACGUUUAGGAAUAUUUCCCUUAUUUAUGAUUUAGUUUGUGUUGUGGAGUCUGAAAUGUCCCCUAAUCGAUGUCUCUUGUAUUUCAGAAAAGCAAUCAUGCCUCCUCGUUGCUCCAAUGAUUAGAAUACCUGGACUGAAGAUGUC